rnacentral:snRNA from 1 species
GUGCUUGCUUCGGUAGCACAUAUACUAAAAUUAGAACGAUACAGAGAUUAGCUUGGCCCCUGCACAAGGAUGACACACAAAUUCGUGAAGCGUUCCAUAUUUUU